rnacentral:lncRNA from 1 species
GGAAUGUAUUCCAACUCUUAUUACACAUAUAGAGCACAAUUUUUCAUAUCUUUGUAUAUUAAGUAUGUUCACACUAAUUCAUGCCUUAACACAAUUACUUUCUGGGGUUUUUUUGCAUUACAAUUCUUAUCCCACAUAUAUACCACAAUUUUUUCAUAUCUCAGGUUGCAUAUAAAGUAUGUUGACCCCCAAUUCAAGUCUUCAUACAUGUACUUUGAAUAAUGAUGCCCAUCACAUUCCACCAUCCUUUCUAAUCCCCUGCCCCUCCCUUUACCUCCCACUCCUCUUUCCUAUCUAGAAUUCAUCUAAUCAUCCCAUGCUCCCCCUCCCUACCCCACUAUGAGUCAGCCUCCUUGUAUCAGAGAAAACAUUUGGCGUUUUUUUUGUGGAUUGGCUAAUUUCACUUAGCAUUAUCUUCUCCAAUGCCAUUCAUUUACCUGCAAAUGCCAUGAUUUUAUUCUCUCUCAUUGCUGAAUAAAAUUCUAUUGUGUAUAUGUGCCACAUUUUAAAAUCCAUUCAUCCACUGAAGGGCAUCUAGGUUGGCUCCACUGUUUAGCUAUUGUGAAUUGUGCUGCUAUAAACAUUGAUGUGGCUGUGUCCCUGUUGUAUGCUGUUUUUAAUUCCUUUAGGUAUAGUCCAAGGAGAAGGGAUACCUGAGUCAAAUGGUGGUUCCAUUCCCAGAUUUCCAAAGAAUUUCCAUACUGCUUUCCAUAUUGGCUGCACCA